rnacentral:rRNA from 1 species
CCUACGGGAGGCAGCAGUGGGGAAUAUUGGGCAAUGGGCGCAAGCCUGACCCAGCAACGCCGCGUGAAGGAAGAAGGCUUUCGGGUUGUAAACUUCUUUUGUCAGGGAAGAGUAGAAGACGGUACCUGACGAAUAAGCCACGGCUAACUACGUGCCAGCAGCCGCGGUAAUACGUAGGUGGCAAGCGUUGUCCGGAUUUACUGGGUGUAAAGGGCGGGUAGGCGGGUUGACAAGUCAGAUGUGAAAUCCUGCGGCUUAACCGCAGAACUGCAUUUGAAACUGUUGAUCUUGAGUACUGGAGAGGCAGAUAGAAUUCCUAGUGUAGCGGUGAAAUGCGUAGAUAUUAGGAGGAACACCAGUGGCGAAGGCGGUCUGCUGGACAGCGACUGACGGUGAGGCGCGAAAGCGUGGGGAGCAAACAGGAUUAGAUACCCGAGUAGUC